GACGAACGCUGGCGGCGUGCUUAACACAUGCAAGUCGAACGGAAAGGCCCUGCUUUUGUGGGGUGCUCGAGUGGCGAACGGGUGAGUAACACGUGAGUAACCUGCCCUUGACUUUGGGAUAACUUCAGGAAACUGGGGCUAAUACCGGAUAGGAGCUCCUGCUGCAUGGUGGGGGUUGGAAAGUUUCGGCGGUUGGGGAUGGACUCGCGGCUUAUCAGCUUGUUGGUGGGGUAGUGGCUUACCAAGGCUUUGACGGGUAGCCGGCCUGAGAGGGUGACCGGCCACAUUGGGACUGAGAUGCGGACCAGACUCCUGCGGGAGGCAGCAGUGGGGAAUGUUGCACAACGGGCGGAGGCCUGAUGCAGCAACGCCGCGUGCGGGAUGACGGCCUUCGGGUUGUAAACCGCUUUCGCCGGGGACGAAGCGUGAGUGACGGUAAUGGGUAAAGAAGCACCGGCUAACUACGUG
rnacentral:rRNA from 1 species